rnacentral:lncRNA from 1 species
CUCAACACGUUUUUUUACAGACACUGUAAUCGGGAAUAUUGAUUAUUAGAAGCGCAGAGAUGGCUGAAAUACAACCCCAAAUUGCCACAAAUUUUCUACGCCAGGGUUGUACUAGCUUUUAAAAAAAAUUGUUGAAGCGAAUUUGUGUGAUAAUUUUUGUUCAGAAAGUGUCGCACAUAAUGUGCAGUAGUGUUUACCUCACACCGUAUCGAAUUUAAAAAAUUGCCCAUCCUAAUUGCCCAUCCUUACUGUUAUUCUGUGUUGCUCUAGCUCAGCGAUUAAAGCCUCUACUGAGGAGAGAGUACAGCUGUCAAAACAAGAUGGGGGUCUAUACUCUAAACCAUCUAUGAUUUUGUACUUCAAUCUCAAUCUUCACAAAAUUUAUUGCUUUGCAGGACCGGUUGUUCAAAAGGCGAUCAGCGCUAAUCCUGGGUUAACUUAAAAUUCAAAGCACACUUCCUGACAGCUUGUUUUUUAAUUUGCAAAUGUUUCUUCACAAAUCAUUUUUGGAUCAAUAGGAGUUUUCUUUUCUGACUUUUUGAAAUAAAUGGACAUGCAGAAAUAUGCAAACUAAAACAGCGAGUUAAAUUUUAACCCUGUGUUAACGAUAAUCUACCUUUGAACAACCGGCCCCCGGCGUCUAAACUGAAACUGCAGAUUUCUGAAAUAAAAAUUUUAAACCUCAAUCUUAACAUCUCUAAUGUCUUAUUAUUUUACUUAUCCAUCACUAGAUCCCACGGGAUAUCCAGUAAAUGUUGCAAUCUCCGAUGAUCGUGUUGUGUCGCUAUCGUUAGAUUCUUUGUCAUCCUCGAUAAAGGU